UACAGUGAUAAUGUUAGUUAAUGUCAGAGAAAGGGAGUUUCAAGAUCAGUAUCAAACGAACUAGUUCGAGCGUAAAGACAGACAAUUUUUCAUGGUUGAAUUUUAUCUUGGUGCCAGUCGCCAUUUCAUGUUUGGUAAAAUGUCGAUGAUGGCCGACCGUUCGGCCAUUGUGGAAAUAUGAGAAGUAAAGGAAAACAAACAUUUGCUUUGGUCUUCGUAGUAAGCAGUAUCGUACUUGAAUCAUCCUACUCACAACAUCUCUCGGACUUGGGAAUCCUCAAGGUGGUGGUUCUUUAUCGACUAUCCUGGAAUACAGAACUCAUCCUUCGACGAAAUAUUAAAGGUUAGGUAGCCGUGAAAUAAAGAGACGAAGAAGAGCCUCGUCUGGUAUACCAGUAAGAAGCCUAGAGGCCACUAUAAAUGUCGGGAUGAAGGUGGAAAAGGGAUAGCUAAAUCGUUCGAGUGAGCGAGCAAGGAAACAAGAAAGCAAGCGAGAAAGCAAGCAAACUAGCUAGCCAGAGCUAGCUAGCCAGCUAGGAAACUAGCAAGCAAGCGAAUCAAAGCAAAGCGAAGCAAAGCAAAGCAAAGCAAAGCAGAGCAGAGCAGAACAGAGCAGAGCAGAACAGAGCAAAGCAAAGCAAAACCAUUGGCAGAAGAAUCUCAAGCAAAACCGAUUAUGAACAUUAAGUACACGCUGGCUGAAAAGCAGGCCGUGCUAAAAAUAGGAAUACCCAUGCAUGGAAAUAAUGGCGGAUCUUGGAAAUAUCACGAGGAACGGGCUGACGGAUAGAAAACUAAAAUGGUUUAAGAACUAAAAAGAGAAAGGAGAAGAAAAAGAAAAAGCGAAGAAGAAGAAGAAGAAGAAGAAGAAGAGAUAGAUAAAAAGGUGAAGGAGGAGCAGGAGGAACAGGAGAAGGGGAAGAAAGAAAAUAUAUAAAAGUCGGGACACAUUUGAACACGAACGCGUUUUGUACGUGGUUGCACAGAGAAGAUUCAGAUCUCUCGGAAAGUAAAAAGCUUGCAUUCAAGAGCUUACAUCCCCUUCUAAAUUCCACCCUUUUACCUAUCCUUCUCCCUCCUCAUUUCUAGACUUUACUAUAUACCAUUCUUAUAUAGCAUCAUCGUCAUACCUUAAACCCGUCACCACCCCCCGCUCCACCCUUACUAUCGCCCCUUCUCCUUUUCUCUUUCCACCCAUUGCCUAUUUGACUUUCCAGUUUUUGAAGCUAGAAAGAGAGUUACGUGACAUCAUCUACGAGCAAUGUCGGAGAAUUAUUUUCAGGAUGAUAUAAAUGUAGUCCAACGAAUACGGGUUGUCUCUUUUUCUCUCUCUCUCUCUCUCUCUGCCUCUCUCUCUCUUUUUCUCUCUCUCACUUUGUCCGUUCGUCCGUCUGUUUGUCUUUCUCAAAAUCGUUUUCCUCCAAGGUAAAUAAAUUUAAUUUACCAAGGAAAUCGAGACCGAGAGCCUUUCGAGCUUUCCACUCGAAGGUUCUUUCUUUCUUUCUUUUUUUUUUUUCUUUUGUUUUCUCUUUCCUUUUUUUUUCUUCUUCUUCUUCUUCUUCUUCUUUCUCCCCUAUCGCACACUCGGGGACGAUCGCCAAGUUUGCAUUUUUAUUUUCACAUUUGUUCUUUUACGUUUAGUUGCGGUCUCCUACCUUAGUAGUUAUGUAACCAUGUAUAUUUCUGUUUACAGUAUCCACCGUACUUAAGGGGAAACAUCCUUAUUUUCAUUCCUUCCCUCUUUCUUUGGUUAUUUUCGUUAAAAUGUGAUUUUCCCUUAAGAGCCGUACUAUUUUUGACAGAUGUGGCAAAUGAGCCUUGGAAUAUCUAUCUUCCAUUUUUCUCUCUCCCUCCCUCUCUCUCUCUCUCUCUCUCUCUCUCUCUCUUGAUUUCUCGAUCUCUUGAUCUCUUUCUCUCUCUCUCUCUCUCUCUCUCUCUAUUUUUUUCUGUCUUUGUCUCUGUCUCUCUUUUAUCAUUUGAAAUCUUUUCUCUCGUAAUCUUUAAUUAGUACGGUAUACGAUGUGGUAAAACACAAAACACGAUACGGCAUAGAAUCGAUACGGUACGUAUGCACUUUUGUUUAGAUUUCAAAGCAACUCGUUCUAAUUUUCAACGGAUUUAGAGAUCAGUAUUUUACUGGAGGAAUAUUGAAGUUCUCAGCGAUUUUCCGAAUAACCAUUAAUUUCGUAUGCUUUUCCCACUCGUCCGCCUAACCACCCCACCCACCCCACUAUUUCCCUUACUACUACUACUACUACUAUUACUAUUACUACUACUACUACUACUACUGUGAUGAUCCUGUUGCCAGUUUACGUGGACGUUUUCGCGAAUCGAUCUGAUCCGAUCGAACGAAAUUAAAUUCCUUCCUGGUAAUCUGUGAAUUCACCUCCGUAAGGAUUCCAUCGCGUAUCGCGUUUCAAGCUAAAUUGCGUCCGAUUAAACAGUAGGACGAAAAUGAAAUUCUCCAAUAUAUAUAUAUAUAUAUAUCGUGACUCGGCGAAUCGAAUGUUUUAUUUUCUUUUUUUUUUUUUUUUUU